AUUGAACGCUGGCGGCAGGCCUAACACAUGCAAGUCGAACGAGUGGCGGACGGGUGAGUAAUGUCUGGGAAACUGCCCGAUGGAGGGGGAUAACUACUGGAAACGGUAGCUAAUACCGCAUACCAUCGGAUGUGCCCAGAUGGGAUUAGCUUGUAGGUGGGGUAACGGCCCACCUAGGCGACGCUCUCUAGCUGGUCUGAGAGGAUGACCAUCCACACUGGAACAGAGACACGGUCCAGACUCCUACGGGAGGCAGCAGUGGGGAAGAUUGCACAAGGGGCGCAAGCCUGAUGCAGCCACGCCGAGUGUAUGAAGAAGGCCUUCGGGUUGUAAAGGACUUUCAGGCAGGAGGCGUUACUGGCAGAAGAAGCACCGGCUAACUCCGUGCCAGCAGCCGCGGUAAUUC
rnacentral:rRNA from 1 species